GCCUCGAUAGCUCAGCCUGGUAGAGCAUUUCACUCGUAAUGAAAAGGUCGUGGGUUCGGAUCCCACUCGAGGCU
rfam:Candidatus Nitrosopelagicus brevis strain CN25, complete genome.